GCGGGCGUGGCGGAAUUGGCAGACGCGCAAGACUAAGGAUCUUGUGAGGAGACUCGUGAAGGUUCAAAUCCUUUCGCCCGCACCA
rnacentral:tRNA from 1 species